rnacentral:rRNA from 1 species
AGAAUCAACGCUGGCGGCGUGCCUAACACAUGCAAGUCGAACGAGAAAGGGGAGCAAUCCCUGAGUAAAGUGGCGCACGGGUGAGUAACACGUGACUAACCUACCCUGGAGUGGGGGAUAACUGAGGGAAACCUUAGCUAAUACCGCAUAACACCUACGGGUCAAAGGAGCAAUUCGCUUUGGGAGGGGGUCGCGGCCGAUUAGUUAGUUGGCGGGGUAAUGGCCCACCAAGACAGUGAUCGGUAUCCGGCCUGAGAGGGCGCACGGACACACUGGAACUGAAACACGGUCCAGACUCCUACGGGAGGCAGCAGUGGGGAAUUUUGCGCAAUGGGGAAACCCUGACGCAGCAACGCCGCGUGGAGGAUGAAGUACUUCGGUACGUAAACUCCUUUCGAUCGGGACGAUAAUGACGGUACGGAAGAAGAAGCCCGGCUAACUUCGCGCCAGCAGCCGC